UGGCACGUUAGCACGUUAUUGCAAUAUCCCAUAGUACAUACAUGUUAUUAAAACUUGAACUAAUGCAUUGUGAGUCUUAUAAAUUGCUUACAUACCUCACCGAUUUCCCACUGUCUGGAAAACGCUCGGUUUAGUUCCUGUCUCCGCCUCCCAAAAUGUCUAGUGUAAUCGGAUUGGUCAGAUGACUACUCAACUGUUAUUGGUCAGCUGGGUUCGGCUUGUGUUUGAAAGUUACGCCCCUGACUACGCGUGGGUUGACACAGAUUCUGACUGAGUCACAGCCUCAGAGGCAUCGUAAACAAGCGUUAUAUUUCUCUAUAAACGAUGGUGUCUGUACUGCCUUACCACUUCGAGCUCGAUCCAGAGAGUUCAGACGGCCGUUACGAUAUAAACGAUCUCCGUCAAUGAAUGCGAUUGGAUUUAACUUUUUUAGGUGUCCUUAGCUCUGCCAGAAUGCUAAACGAAGACGAAAAUGUGUUGCAAAGACAUCCAAAAGGUUUUAAGGAGAAUGCAACAGGUUCCAGGGCCUCUUACCUGCGUGAUUCAUCAUCCAGGUUUUGCACAAAUUGUCUAAAUCCCUACACACAGAACAUUUAUUGUACCGACUAUAAGCCUUUGAGGCGCAGGACUAGAAUACGCUUGGAGCUUCCUGAUCGGAAUGUUGGCUUCCGACGACCCCUGCACUGAAGAUGGCAUGCAAUCACGUCCUCCUUUGAAGGUCUCUCAAACUGUGAUGCCAGGUCCAUUGGAAUCGGGGUUUCCUUCAGCUUAUC